rnacentral:rRNA from 1 species
GAUGAACGCUGGCGGCGUGCCUAAUACAUGCAAGUCGAGCGAACGGACGAGAAGCUUGCUUCUCUGAUGUUAGCGGCGGACGGGUGAGUAACACGUGGAUAACCUACCUAUAGGACUGGGAUAACUUCGGGAAACCGGAGCUAAUACCGGAUAAUAUUUUGAACCGCAUGGUUCAAAAGUGAAAGACGGUCUUGCUGUCACUUAUAGAUGGAUCCGCGCUGCAUUAGCUAGUUGGUAAGGUAACGGCUUACCAAGGCAACGAUGCAUAGCCGACCUGAGAGGGUGAUCGGCCACACUGGAACUGAGACACGGUCCAGACUCCUACGGGAGGCAGCAGUAGGGAAUCUUCCGCAAUGGGCGAAAGCCUGACGGAGCAACGCCGCGUGAGUGAUGAAGGUCUUCGGAUCGUAAAACUCUGUUAUUAGGGAAGAACAUAUGUGUAAGUAACUGUGCACAUCUUGACGGUACCUAAUCAGAAAGCCACGGCUAACUACGUGCCAGCAGCCGCGGUAAUACGUAGGUGGCAAGCGUUAUCCGGAAUUAUUGGGCGUAAAGCGCGCGUAGGCGGUUUUUUAAGUCUGAUGUGAAAGCCCACGGCUCAACCGUGGAGGGUCAUUGGAAACUGGAAAACUUGAGUGCAGAAGAGGAAAGUGGAAUUCCAUGUGUAGCGGUGAAAUGCGCAGAGAUAUGGAGGAACACCAGUGGCGAAGGCGACUUUCUGGUCUGUAACUGACGCUGAUGUGCGAAAGCGUGGGGAUCAAACAGGAUUAGAUACCCUGGUAGUCCACGCCGUAAACGAUGAGUGCUAAGUGUUAGGGGGUUUCCGCCCCUUAGUGCUGCAGCUAACGCAUUAAGCACUCCGCCUGGGGAGUACGACCGCAAGGUUGAAACUCAAAGGAAUUGACGGGGACCCGCACAAGCGGUGGAGCAUGUGGUUUAAUUCGAAGCAACGCGAAGAACCUUACCAAAUCUUGACAUCCUUUGACAACUCUAGAGAUAGAGCCUUCCCCUUCGGGGGACAAAGUGACAGGUGGUGCAUGGUUGUCGUCAGCUCGUGUCGUGAGAUGUUGGGUUAAGUCCCGCAACGAGCGCAACCCUUAAGCUUAGUUGCCAUCAUUAAGUUGGGCACUCUAAGUUGACUGCCGGUGACAAACCGGAGGAAGGUGGGGAUGACGUCAAAUCAUCAUGCCCCUUAUGAUUUGGGCUACACAUGUGCUACAAUGGACAAUACAAAGGGCAGCGAAACCGCGAGGUCAAGCAAAUCCCAUAAAGUUGUUCUCAGUUCGGAUUGUAGUCUGCAACUCGACUACAUGAAGCUGGAAUCGCUAGUAAUCGUAGAUCAGCAUGCUACGGUGAAUACGUUCCCGGGUCU